rnacentral:tRNA from 1 species
UCCCGGUUCGUCCAAUGGCAGGGCCCUUGUCUUACAAACAAGUGACGGGUGUUCGAUUCACCCACCGGGAACCA